rnacentral:pre_miRNA from 1 species
GAACUCGAUUCUCCUCUGUCAUAUGCAGCCGACAACUAUGGCAGUGAGGGUGGGGUUUCC